ACGAAGGGUGCAAGCGUUACUCGGAAUUACUGGGCGUAAAGCGUGCGUAGGUGGUUUGUUAAGUCUGAUGUGAAAGCCCUGGGCUCAACCUGGGAACUGCAUUGGAUACUGGCUUACUAGAGUGCGGUAGAGGGUAGCGGAAUUCCCGGUGUAGCAGUGAAAUGCGUAGAUAUCGGGAAGAACACCCGUGGCGAAGGCGGCACUCUGGGACGGUACUGACGCUGAGACGCGAAAGCGUGGGGAGCGAACAGGA
rnacentral:rRNA from 1 species